rnacentral:rRNA from 1 species
AUUGAACGCUGGCGGCAGGCCUAACACAUGCAAGUCGAGCGAGCGGCGGACGGGAGAGCAAUGUCUGGGACACUGCCUGAUGGAGGGGGUCAAGUACUGGAAACGGUUGCUAAUACCGCACACCAUCAGCUGUGCCCAGAUGGGAUGAGCUAGUAGGUGGGGUAAUGGCUGACCUAGGCGACGAUCAGUACCUGGUCUGAGAGGAUGACCAGCCACACGGGAACUGAGACACGGUCCAGACUCCUACGGGAGGCAGCAGUGGGGAAUAUUGGACAAUGGGCGAAAGCCUGAUGCAGCCAUGCCGCGUGUGUGAAGAAGGCCUUCGGGUUGUAAAGCACUUUCAGCGGGGAGGCGUUACUAGCAGAAGAAGCACCGGCUAACUCCGUGCCAGCAGCCGCGGUAAUAC